rnacentral:rRNA from 1 species
CGGCGACGGGUGAGUAACGCGUGGGUAACCGUGCCGUUAUACCGGGGACGAACAGUUGGAAACGACUGCUAAUACCGCAUAAGCGCACGGGAAGGCAUCUUUACUGGUAGUGAAAAAACUCCGGUGGUAUAAGAUGGACCCGCGUCUGAUUAGCCAGUUGGCGGUGUAACGGACCACCAAAGCGACGAUCAGUAGCCGGCCUGAGAGGGCAAACGGCCACAUUGGGACUGAGACACGGCCCAAACUCCUACGGGAGGCAGCAGUGGGGAAUAUUGCACAAUGGAGGAAACUCUGAUGCCAGCGACGCCGCGUGAGUGAAGAAGUAUUUCGGUAUGUAAAGCUCUAUCAGCAGGAAAGAAAAUGACGGUACCUGACUAAGAAGCCCCGGCUAACUACGUGCCAGCCGCGGC